rnacentral:misc_RNA from 1 species
AAGUCGUAACAAGGUAACCGUAGGUGAACCUGCGGUUGGAUCAUUAACAAAAUUGACUCAACCAACCUCUUCGGGGGUUGGGAGAGUAAACACCAAUUUGUCAACUGUUACGGUAGUCUUUGGACUAUCAUUUUUCACUAGAUUUUUAUAUUGUAAUAAACUAAAGUUGAAUAACUUUUUAAUUAAUCUUAAACAACUUUUGGCAACGGAUCUCUAGGCUCUU